rnacentral:rRNA from 1 species
GAUGAACGCUGGCGGCGUGCCUAAUACAUGCAAGUCGAGCGAACAGACGAGGAGCUUGCUCCUUUGACGUUAGCGGCGGACGGGUGAGUAACACGUGGGUAACCUACCUAUAAGACUGGGAUAACUUCGGGAAACCGGAGCUAAUACCGGAUAAUAUUUCGAACCGCAUGGUUCGAUAGUGAAAGAUGGCUUUGCUAUCACUUAUAGAUGGACCUGCGCCGUAUUAGCUAGUUGGUAAGGUAACGGCUUACCAAGGCAACGAUACGUAGCCGACCUGAGAGGGUGAUCCGCCACACUGGAACUGAGACACGGUCCAGACUCCUACGGGAGGCAGCAGUAGGGAAUCUUCCGCAAUGGGCGAAAGCCUGACGGAGCAACGCCGCGUGAGUGAUGAAGGUCUUCGGAUCGUAAAACUCUGUUAUUAGGGAAGAACAAACGUGUAAGUAACUGUGCACGUCUUGACGGUACCUAAUCAGAAAGCCACGGCUAACUACGUG